rnacentral:rRNA from 1 species
AGAGUUUCGAUCCUGCGUCAGGAUGAACGCUGCGGCGUGCUUAACACAUGCAAGUCGAACGCUGAAGCUCCCAGCUUGCUGGGGUGGAGUGAGUGGCGAACGGGUGAGUAUCACGUGAGUAACCUGCCCUGAACUCUGGGAUAAGCCUGGGAAACUGGGUCUAAUACUGGAUAGGACUGGCCAUCGCAUGGUGGUUGGUUGAAAGCUUGAGGCGGUUUUGGAUGGACUCGCGGCCUAUCAGUUUGUUGGUGGGGUAAUGGCCUACCAAGGCUUUGACGGGUAGCCGGCCUGAGAGGGCGACCGGCCACACUGGGACUGAGACACGGCCCAGACUCCUACGGGAGGCAGCAGUGGGGGAUAUUGCACAAUGGGGGAAACCCUGAUGCAGCGACGCCGCGUGAGGGAUGACGGCCUUCGGGUUGUAAACCUCUUUCAGUUGGGAAGAAGCCCUUCGGGGUGACGGUACCUUCAGAAGAAGCACCGGCUAACUACGUG